rnacentral:rRNA from 1 species
CCUACGGGGGGCAGCAGUGAGGAAUAUUGGUCAAUGGUCGGGAGACUGAACCAGCCAAGCCGCGUGAGGGAUGAAGGUACAGAGUAUCGUAAACCUCUUUUGUCAGGGAACAAAGGCGGGGACGCGUCCCCGGAUGAGUGUACCUGAAGAAAAAGCAUCGGCUAACUCCGUGCCAGCAGCCGCGGUAAUACGGAGGAUGCGAGCGUUAUCCGGAUUUAUUGGGUUUAAGGGGUGGGCAGGUGGUUUGUUAAGUCAGCGGUAAAAGCCCGGGGUUCAACCCCGGCCCGCCGUUGAAACUGGCAGUCUCGAGUUGGAGAGAAGUAUGCGGAAGGCGCGGUGUAGCGGUGAAAUGCAUAGAUAUCGCGCAGAACUCCGAUUGCGAAGGCAGCAUGCCGGCUCCACACUGACGCUGAGGCACGAAAGCGUGGGUAUCGAACAGGAUUAGAUACCCGAGUAGUC